ensembl:lncRNA
CACCAGAAGGAACCAAUUCCAGACACAAUAUGGCUACUAGAAAAUGUUAAGUCACAUAUGUAGCUUGAAUUUGUGGCUUGUGUUACAUUUCUAUCUGGACUAUCUCAAAGGGGAAGGAAGGAGAGAAUGGGCAUAUCAGAGCUCUGCCCUACCUGGGGUAAUCACAUCAUUUCUUAUUCAUACCAGGAUAUUUGGAGAAUAAAAGUGGACACUGUAGACAAUGAUUUUGGGACAAGUGGCAUUAACUGGCACUGUUGGACAAUGAGAUGUGAGGUCACCUUCCCAAUGAGUAAGGUGACUAUGAAUGCCACAGAGAAAGGGCAGGUGAGAACUGUCAUAGAUGAGUUGUUUUAGGGAGAUUUGUUUUUCCAUGCACUAAACAAAAACUGAAAUUCGUCCCACCAUGCUUCCUACUCUUAGAAAACAUCUAAGCUUUCUAUUUCUGAGGAGGAUUUCAGACUAAAAUCCAGGUUCCAAGAACUUCUUGGAUGGCAGAAAUUAUUGUGAAGCAUUUGGAUAUAUUAAACCUAAGUCCAUCAGAAACAUACGGAUUACAUUUCCCUUUAAAACACAAACACACUUAAAAUUUAAGAGAAAAGUAUUUGGCAAGGGACUUCCAAAUACUUUUCUUUGGUUUUGCUAAAUCUGCAGUGUUUUCAUGCACGUGCAGACACACGAUCAUUUGGAGGAUGCUCUUCACAUGAAUGAUAGGCUUACUUUCCUCUGCCGGAAAGCGGGCUCAGCUUUCUUGAUGUCUACUCGUGUCCCUGGCUUAAGGGCUGGAUCCCAAAGACCUUAAAGAAAUAAAAAUGUCAUCUAAUCUGAAAUUUGGAGAGUCUAAAGGCAGGUGGAAGAAUCUGACACACUUAGGGAGUGUGGCCUUUGGUCGCAUCUCUCAAUAGAGCCAUGGACAUGGGGACACAGCAAAAUGUAGGAGUAGAGAAAAUCAUUAUUCUCAACAGCCAAGCUCUGCCUUUUUUCAGGGUGGUGAGGAGACUGGAGAGGGCACUUGUUCCCUACUCUCUCCCUCCUCAGCCCCACUUCAUGACCCUGAAAUGUCCUUUCAGUAUUUGUGUUUUAAUUCAAGACUCACAGCAUCACAUAUAUUGGAGAGUUGCACCAUUAAUUCUCUUUCCUGUUACCUAAUACAUGAAUUGAAGACCAUCUCAACAAUUUAGUAUUUAAGGUUAUCUUUUUGAUUCAAAUAUCAAUAGCUUUUACUUUGAUUUUCUAUUAAAAACAAAUUUAGCUUAUUAUUUGAUACCUUGCUAAACUAUCAAUUUAGAGCACACUGUACAUGCAAGGAGUCUAAAAUUUUUUAUUUUCACAGAAGUCACAUGAAAACAAACUUCAGAAAAAUAAGAAAUAAAACAAUAAAGAAGAUUAUGUUGAAUCUCAUGGAGAUUUCGAAGUGGAGAGUCUCAGAAUGCCACUGUGCAAUAUCUCUAGAGGUCAACUAACCUGGAGAACAGGUUCAUGAUAAGGCUAGUGUUUAUGGCUUGUGCAGGAGAAUUACAUAAAUUUUACUACAUAAGUAGGAUUGCUGUCUUCCCUUUUCAUGUUCCUUAAAUGUUACCAUCAUGUUUAAAAAUAAAUACACACUAAAGAGUGUGAAUGCUCCAUUUUUGCAACAUUCCAAGCUGCUCCAAGUCUCAGAACUUUCCCACAACAUCCUGUUACCUCUUCACUAUUUCAGGUGUAGGGAAGACUGAGAUAAAGACAAAACUGCUCCUCUCAUGGAGAUUAUAAUAUUAUAGAAGGAGAGUGACUCAACAAAGUUAUUAAACAUAAACUCAUCAAGAUUAUUUCUGCUGUUUCAGAGAGAAAUAAACCAUAUUUUAAAAGUGUAAAAAAGUGACAUGAAGACAGUUAUAAAAUGCCUCUUUGAGGAGAUAUAGUGAAACCCAAAGGAUGAGAAAAGGCCAGUCCUAUGACUGUUGGAGGACAGACUAAUUCAAAUGGAGAGGAUGAGUAGAGGGAAUAUAAAAUAAAAACCCAUAAGGCAGGAACUGUCUAUGACUAAACAAGGAGAUGAAAGAAGGACAGGGUUGCUGAAGCACACUUAGUAAUGGGUUUGGGUAGUAGGGAAUGACUUUGGGGAGGGAGGCAGAGGCAACCAUCAGAUAUUAGAAAUGACACUCAUAAUGAGAGCAAUGCAAAAGAAAACAGCAAUGAGAUAUCAAAUGCCAUCAUCAGACUGGCACAAAUUAAAAGUCUGACAAAUACCACAGGCUGAAAAAGGGGAUUGCUUACAACUACUUGUUGUAGUGCACACUGGUAUAACUACUUUGGAGAGCAAUGGGCUUUUCUGUAAAUUUCAUAAUGUCCACCCUGUACAAUCUAGGGCUUUUCCUCCUAGGUAUAUGCCUCCCAAAAAUAAUCUCACCUGGGCACCAUGUUGUUCAGAGCAUUGCUGUUGUCACCAGUAAAACAACAACAAAAGCAACCACAAUUAGAUUAGAAACAACCUAAAUGUAUAUCAUUGUGAGAAUAAAAAGUAUAGAGUACUCAUAAUAAAACUACCGUACAGCAGUGAAAAUGAAUAAGUAAGAAUUAUGGGUAAUCUUCUAGCUGAAGUUUAUAAACAGUGUUGAGAGGAACCCCCCAAAAUCACAAAAGAAUACAUAUAACACGAUUCCCUUUAUGUACAUUUUUAGCUUAUUUUGAUAUAAACUGACAAAAAGUUUCUAAAGAGUACAGUGAGAUCCAAUGUACCUAUUACUUGGGUCCCUUCAUUAAUAGCAUCUUGCAUCAUUACUAAUGUGUAGUAAUGUUUUUAAUAAAUCUAGGUAAUUGACAUUGGUAUAAUACAACUAACUAGACUGUAUAACUUAAUCAGACUUCAUCAGGUUUUACAUGCACUCAUGUUUUUGGUAUGUCUGUGGGUUAUACAUAUACAUUCUAUGACAUUUUAUCACAUGUAUAAAUUUAUAUAACUACUACCAUGAUAAAGAUACAGAAUUGUUUCUUCACUACAUGGGAAAUUGCAUGUUAUUCUUUUAUAUUCACACUCUUCUUAAAACACUUUUAAGUUCAGGGAUACAAGUACAGGUUUGUUACAUAGGUAAACUUGUGUCACUCUUCUUCUAAACCAUGAUCAUCACUAAUCUAUUCUCCAUCUAUACAAUUUUGUCAUUUUGAGGAUGCUGCAUAAAUGGAAUCAGGCUGGGCACAGUGGCUCACACCUGUAAUCCCAGAACUUUGGGAGGCUGAGAUGGGUGGAUCACCUGAAGUCAGGAGUACAUGACCAGCCUGGCUAAUGUGGUGAAAUCCUAUCAUUACUAAAAAAAAAACAAAAAUUAAUUGGGAGUGGUGGUGCACACCUGUAUUCCCAGCUACUGAGGAUGCUGAGGCAUGAGAAUCGCUCAAACCCUAGAGGCGGAGGUUGCAAUGAGCCGAGAUCAUACCACUGCCUUCCAACCUGGGUGACAGAGUGAGACUCCAUCUCAAAAUAUGUACUAAAUAAAUAAAUAAAUAAAUGGAAUAUGUAACAUCUUGGGACUGGCUUUAAAAAUAUCCUGCACAAUGCUAUUGAGAUCUAACCAUCAAGUAAUUUGUUGAGUCUUAUUGGUGAGUAGUAUAGAUGUACUAGCGUUUAUUUUACUUUUCAUCCAUUGAGGGAUAUUUAGAUUGUAUCCAGUUUGAGAUUAUUACAAAUGAAGAUGCUGUGAGCAUUUUUGUAUAGAUUUUAGUGUAAACAUACAUUUAAAUUUUCUUAGAGUGGCAUUGCUGUGUCACAUGGCGAAUGUAUGUUUAACUUCAAAAGAAAGUGCUAAACUGUUUCCCAGAGUAGCUGUACCAUUUCACAUUCCUGGUAGCAUGUAUAAAAUACCCAGUUUCUCCAUAUCUUCUCCAGCAUUUGGUACUAACAGCAUUAUUUCAGCCUUUUUGAUAGGUUUUUAAUGAUGUAUCUUCAAGAUUUUAAUUUGUGUUCCUUUCAUAGCUAGUGAUUUGCAGCACCCUUUUACAUACUUAUUCACCAUUUAUCUUCUUUAGCAAAGUGUCUGUGUAAGUAUUUUUCUCAUUUUCUAAUUGAAUUCUGUGUUUUCUUAUUCUUUAGAUUUUUUUAAAUAUUCUGGAGAAAAGUCCUUUGUCAUAUAUGUGCUUAGCAAAUAGGAUCCUCCCCGCCCUCCAACUCAGUGGCUUGUCUUUUUGUCUUCUUAACAGGGGUCUUUCAUGAAGAAAACCUUUUUUUAAAUUUUGAUUAAUUCAAUUUAUCUACUUUUUCAAAGAUCUUUUAUAGAACUUUAUGUCUAAACAUUAUUUGCCCCAAAAUUCUCUUUUUAAAAGCUUUCUUCCAAAAGGUUUAUAGUUUUGUGGGGUUUCUUACUUUUACUUAUUUUCUGCCUAGGUAUUCUUUUCUUUCUAAAUAUUUUAAACAUUUUAUACACUGAACACAAAAUUUACCAUCAAUGACAUUUAGUACAUUUACAAUGUUAUGUAAACAUCACUACUGUCUACUUUCAAACAUUUUCAUCACUCCAAAGGAAAUCUCAUACAACUUAAACAGUCAUUACUCAUGCCUCUCUCCCCUUAGCCCCUGGCUAGUACUAAUUUGCUUUCAGUUUCUAAGAGUUCACCUGUUCUGGGUAUUUCAUCUGAAUGAAAUUAUAACAUAUAUG